UUACCUGGUUGAUCCUGCCAGUAGUCAUAUGCUUAUGUCAAAGAUUAAGCCAUGCAUGUCUAAGUACAAAGUCUCGUACACUGAAACCGCGGAUGGCUCAUUAUAACAGCUAUGAUUUGAGAGAUUUAAACAUUGCUACAGGCUAACUGUGGUAAUUCUAGAGCUAAUACUUAUAAAGAAAUGUCGUGACAAUGCAAAUUGAAGCGGCGGAUUUAUUAGAUCAAAAUCAACCUUUGUGGCUGGCGCAAGUUGGCUGCAUGGUUCCUUGAUGACUCUGGAUAACUUUACUGAUCGUACGACCCUUGUGUUGACGACGUAUCUCUUGAAAUGGCUGACCUAUCAACUUUCGAUGGUAAGAUCAUUGCUUACCAUGGUUGUAACGGGUAACGGGGAAUCAGGGUUCGAUUCCGGAGAGGGAGCCUGAGAAACGGCUACCACAUCCACGGAAGGCAGCAGGCGCGCAAAUUACCCAAUACCGGCUCGGUGAGGUAGUGACAAUAAAUAACAAUAUGAGCCGUUUACGGUUUCAUAAUUGCAAUGAGAACAUUUUAAAUACUUUAUCAAGUAUCAAUUG
rnacentral:rRNA from 1 species